GCUCAGAUUGAACGCUGGCGGCGUGCCUAAUACAUGCAAGUCGAGCGGGGAUAAGACUUCGGUCUUAUUCUAGCGGCGGACGGGUGAGUAACGCGUGGAUAAUCUGCCUUUCACUCGCGAAUACCCAUGAGAAAUCAUGGCUAAUGCGCGAUGCGAUCCUACUGCCACAUGGCGGAAGGAAGAAAGAUUAAUCGGUGAAAGAGGAGUCCGCGUCUGAUUAGCUAGUUGGCGGGAUAAAGGCCCACCAAGGCGACGAUCAGUAGCCGACCUGAGAGGGUGAUCGGCCACAUUGGGACUGAGAUACGGCCCAAACUCCUACGGGAGGCAGCAGUAGGGAAUAUUGCGCAAUGGGGGAAACCCUGACGCAGCAACGCCGCGUGAAGGAUGAAGGUUUUCGGAUCGUAAACUUCUAUCGACAGGAACGAAGAAAGUGACGGUACCUGAGUAAGAAGUCCCGGCUAACUACGUGCCAGCAGCCGCGGUAAUACGUAGGGGGCAAGCGUUAUCCGGAAUUACUGGGUGUAAAGGGUGAGUAGGCGGCCAGAUAAGUCAUAUGUGAAAUCCCAAGGCUUAACCAUGGGACUGCAUAAGAAACUGUGUGGCUAGAGUACAGGAGAGGUAAGCGGAAUUCUUAGUGUAGCGGUGAAAUUCGUAGAUAUUAAGAAGAACACCAGUGGCGAAGGCGGCUUACUGGACUGAAACUGACGCUGAGUCACGAAAGCGUGGGGAGCGAACAGGAUUAGAUACCCUGGUAGUCCACGCUGUAAACGAUGAUAGCUAGGUGUUGGCGCGAGAGCGUCGGUGCCGGAGUUAACACAAUAAGCUAUCCACCUGGGGAGUACGAUCGCAAGAUUGAAACUCAAAGGAAUUGACGGGGGCCCGCACAAGCGGUGGAGCAUGUGGAUUAAUUCGAAGCAACGCGAAGAACCUUACCAAGGCUUGACAUCCCUAUAAAGCCGUUGAAAGACGGUGUGCCUUCGGGCGAGAGGAGACAGGUGGUGCAUGGUUGUCGUCAGCUCGUGUCGUGAGAUGUUGGGUUAAGUCCCGCAACGAGCGCAACCCUUAUGUUUAGUAGCCAGCAGGUAAAGCUGGGCACACUAGAGAUACUGCCGUGGAUAACACGGAGGAAGGUGGGGAUGAGGUCAAAUCAUCAUGCCCCUUAUGCCUUGGGCGUCACACGUGCUACAAUGGCUCGUACAAAG
rnacentral:rRNA from 1 species